GUUUGCAGUCAUUCCACCUUUGAGUGUGAUGCCGUCAGAUCUCAUAAGCUAAGCAGGUUUGGGCUUGGUCAACACUUGGAAAGGACACUUCCACCAAAGCUCUAGGUAAGUUAUUU
ensembl:rRNA 5S_rRNA 5S ribosomal RNA